ACGAAUUAUUAAUGAGUUGUUUAAUCUUGUUUGAUGGUUCAUAAAAUCAGGAAGUUAUACUCAUGCAGAGGCGCAGAAAGCAGAAUUUUUUUUUUUUUUUUUUUUUUUGGGGGGGGGGAUCAAUGUAAUCACCCAUCACCCAACUAUAGGGGGUCUGGAGGAAUGCUCACUCAGAAAAUUUGAAGUCUAGAACCUCUGAUAUGGCACCUUCAGCCAUCAUUGGGGCGUUGAUUUGGGAAGCAUUAGGCAGUUAGUCUGCUAAAAGAUAAUAUUGCAUGGAUUACACCAUUACUCCGAAAUAUGCAACGAAUACAAUUGUAUUUGUAUUGAAGAAUACGACUUUAAAAUGAAAAUGGCUAUAGCUGAUUGUUUAGCUACAACUCUUUUCACAACGCAUUUCACUUCGCAUUGCUACGAAAAGGCGUAAAACGUCAGAAAGAGAAUUGCAGAUUGAUUUUGAAUAAAAUUGAUACGUGUUAUUCAAUGCGAUUUCUCUAUAGUUUAUGGAUAUUUGGCAGGUAAACAUGGGAAGAUACCCGAUACGUAUUCUUCAACAGUAACUGGGCAUUCUCCCCAUUGGGAGUAAAACACUUCUCCAUAUACUGGAAGUGGUCUCCAAAUUCAUCAGGCACUAGUUGGCAGAAAAACGUGCUGUCAAAUUUCGUGCAACCGCAUGCAUUUGUACCUGCUUUCUUGUGUGGUCCUCGACAGUGACGACAGUCAUCUUUAGUUGUUCUUUGAUGGUGGUAACAGCUUCAUCUCUGUACUUCUUUAUCAUCCAGUCACCUACCAGGUUAGAUGAUUUUUCUGUGUAGUUGCCUGGCUCGGAAUGCAUCUCGAAAGGCA